CACAUCCAUGUGUGAAUGUGCUAUGCUAUGUCAAAUACAGUGCUGUGAGGGAGAAAACAAUUUAUUUCACUUUUCUGAUGUGAAUGCGCAAGCAUAACGGGAAUGGAUUGAACACAUAUAACUUAGAUACAGCAUGAGUCUUUCCUGACUGAAUCAGUAUUCAAAUAAAUAUGCUCACUCCGGAUCAGGUGUCCUUGAUAGGACUGGUGUUUGAGACCUAUGUGAUGGAGCAUCACAAGAAUGACGUACUUCAGAUCUUACAGGAGACCAGUGGAAAUGCCCACUACCCGGUUGUAGUGAACGCCAUGACAUUAUUUGAGGAUAAUAUGGAGGUCGGAGAGUGUUUUAAUGCAUUUCCCAGCCAGGUGCUGCCUAUAUUUGACAAUGCCUUACAGAGGGCCGCUCUGUCCAUAUCUCAGUCCUGCGACCCACUGCAGCAAAGCUUCACUCUCAGACAUCAUCUGCAUGUACGAAUAUCAGGGUUGCCUGUGUGUCCUGAGCUGACCAGAGAUCACAUUCCCAAAGCCAGAGACGUGGGCCACUUCCUAUCCGUUACGGGAACGGUCAUCCGCACCAGCGUGACAAAAGUGCUGGAGAGCGAGAGAGACUACAUGUGCAAUAAGUGCCGGCAUGUGUUCUCAGUGCAGGCCGAUUUCGAGCAGUUUUACACCUUCGCCCCUCCCACCAGCUGCCCCAGUGAGGAUGGAUGCAGUUCUUAUAAAUUCACCUGUCUGUCAGAAAGUGAUGCUUCACCGGCCGCCUGCAAGGACUAUCAGGAGAUCAAAAUUCAAGAGCAGGUUCAGAGACUAUCAGUAGGCAGUAUCCCUCGGUCUAUGCUCAUAAUCUUGGAAGAUGAUCUUGUGGACAGCUGUAAAUCAGGUGAUGACAUCACUGUGUAUGGAGUGGUCUGUCAGCGCUGGAAGCCGUUGUUUCAAGAUUGUCGUUGCGAUGUGGAGAUUGUGUUGAAAGCGAACUAUAUCGAGGUCAAUAAUGAGCAGUCCACCACAGCACUGGGGCUGGAAGACAUUCAGAAGGAAUCUGAAGAAUUUUGGGACAGGCACAAAAAUGAUCCAUUGGCUGGCAGGAACCAAAUCCUGAUGAGUCUUUGCCCUCAGGUGUUUGGGAUGUAUGUCGUGAAGCUGGCCGUUGCUAUGGUUUUGGCAGGUGGGGUACAGAGAAUAGAUGCCUCGGGAACCAAGGUGAGAGGCGAGUCUCAUCUGCUGCUCGUGGGUGAUCCAGGGACUGGAAAGUCACAGUUUUUAAAGUAUGCUGCAAAGAUUACACCACGCUCAGUGCUUACUGCAGGAAUUGGAUCCACUAACGCAGGUCUGACGGUGGCAGCUGUGAAGGACUCCGGUGAAUGGCAUCUGGAGGCAGGAGCCCUCGUCCUCUCUGAUGGAGGUCUGUGCUGUAUCGAUGAGUUCAACAGCAUUAAAGAGCACGAUCGUACCAGCAUUCAUGAAGCCAUGGAGCAGCAAACCAUCAGCGUGGCCAAAGCCGGAAUGGUGUGCAAACUGGACACAAGGACCACCAUCCUAGCAGCGACUAACCCAAAGGGCCAGUAUGACCCUAAUGUGUCUGUAUCUGUGAAUGUGGCUCUGGCCAGCCCACUCCUGAGUCGCUUUGACCUUGUGCUGGUUCUGCUGGACACCAAGAACCCAGAGUGGGACAACAUCAUCUCAUCCUUCAUAUUACAGAAUAAAGGAGCUCCAAGCGAGUCUUCUUGUUUAUGGAGUAUGGAGAAGAUGAGGGCUUAUUUCUGCCUGAUCAAAAGCCUUCAGCCUCAAGUGACACAAGAAGCAAACAUAAUACUGAGUCGCUACUAUCAACUGCAGAGACAGAACGACAGUCGUAAUGCCGCCCGCACCACCAUCCGCAUGCUGGAGAGCCUCAUUCGGCUCGCUGAGGCUCACGCCAAGUUGAUGUACAAAGAGACUGUGUCAGUUGCAGACGCCGUUGUCGUCGUGUCUCUCAUGGAGUGCUCUAUGCAGGGGGGCGCUCUGCUUGGCAAUGUUAAUGCGUUGCACACUUCCUUUCCUGAUAACCCCUGUGAGCAGUACAGAACACAGUGUGAGGUUGUGCUGGAAAGACUGGGCUUGACCGAUAUCCUACACAAAGAGCUGCAGAGACUCUCAAGGCUACAGAACACAAGAUCAAGCUCUCCUAAAGGGACCGUACCACAUACUGAACACACAAAUGGGAAUGAGGCUGACAAAAAUCACAGUAACGGUGAGCUGACCACUGAGUCCGACCGAGGCCUAGACUGGUUCCACUCCUUAUCCAGCCCGACCGGUACCGAUGCAAUUGUUCACACCUCCCCUGUCGUCACCUCGACUCAGAACGGCACAUCGGCACGACGCAUGGCAGUUUUGCCUAGCAACAGCAGCGGUUCUGCUCACCAAAAGGGUUCAGCACGGGAGAACAAUGUAGGUGUCUCCAAGAAAAUUGCUGACAAACCCGCUACUGUGGUAGACAGUGCCUCCAAAAAGCUCAGAGGAAAAAGGUUGAAAGCGAUAAAAGCGUCUUUAAUGCAGAGCAAGGACAGGGGCAUUGAAGACAGAGAAGAUGCAGAAAAUGAUCUUGAGGUGUUUAUUUCAGACACACGUCCUUCACACAGCACACCCAUGACAGUAAAGAAACCCACUAAAAGGAAAAGGCCGACUAUCAGUUCAUUUGAGAUUGAUCAGGAGCCUGAGGGUGCCGAAAACUUGCGUGCCAAACUCACAAACUUCACCUUUAAGCCCAAAAAUAGAUUAACUCAUGCAGGUCCGUCAGAUGGUAACACUUGUUCAGAGAUCUUUGUGAAAGACAGUGAGCGGAGGGAACCUACAGUGUCUCGAUUGCAAGAAAAAGAACCGGUUGAUGGGAAUCAGUCAAGCCCACAUUGGCCAGCAGAGGGCAGCAAUACUAAAGAGAAACUCAAGAUGGGAAAUAAAAACAAAAACAAAGAUCCCUCUGAGGUUUCCAGUGAGGACAGCAGAGCUAAAAAUGGAAAUUUCAAAGAGAUUGAACAUAAGCAACAGAUGCCGCCGAGACCAAACAGGCUUUCUCCAUGUGAAAGCAGCGACAAUGCCAAUAAACAACCACCAUCCCUAACAAAACAAGACCAACCUAAGGUGGCCAGCUCCACCCUAGCUAAACUUUCCAGAUUCUCUUUUAUUGCCUCGACUGAGGAAAAGUCUGGUGAUGAAACAAUCCCAGUUCCACCUAAAGCCAAAAGCAUCAGUACAAACAACACGUCAACAAGCGUACGAGAAGAAUUCACAGAUUCUACCACACAGAUAAAUAGGUCACAAAAUAACACAACCCUAAAGACGAGGAAAAAUAUAACUGCAGAAGAACCGAAGACCAUCACACCACAGACAGGGUGCGUAAGGACGGAAACCUCUGGUAUACGGGAAGCAGCCGAGCAGCAUUCUGGCAACCCAAUGAAGAGGAGAUGUUUUGAAUUGGGCUCCAGAGGUCCUGCAGGACUCUUUACAGGUCAUUCUUUGUUCAGCUCAUCUGUCAUAGAUGAUGAUGAUGACCUGGAUGUUGAAUGGGAAUGAGAUGUUUGCCGUUUGUUGAAUGUUUCGUACUAUUUGACACAAUAUUUAGUUUUUCUGUUUCUCUUUGAAAUGUGAUGUGUAGAAUGAAAUGUGUUAGUAAAUAUCAGUAAAUAUCGUUUACAUUUUUAUAACUGGUUCAGUGUCUUCAGUGUAUAAGUUGCUUAUUCCAUUACAGACACUGUGCUCUACAUUUUUGUACAUUCUCAAAAACUAGUCAAAAUAUGUACCCCAGCAGUCACCAGGGUUACAGAUUUGCUCUGGUACCUAAUAGGGUGCAUAUUAGUAUCUCGGAUGUACAACUGGUUUGAAAUAGGGUGCAUAUAAGUCCCUAGGAGGUAUGUACUGGUACCAAAUAGGGUGCAUAUAAGUCCCUAGGAGGUAUGUACUGGUACCAAAUAGGGUACAUAUAAGUCCCUAGGAGGUACGUACUGGUACCAAAUAGACUGCUCGGCGGUACCUACUGAUGGAAAAAGGGGGGCAUACUAGUAUCUCAGAGGUACCUACUGGUAUCCGAUAGGGUGCAUAUUAGUACCUUGGAGGUACGUACUGGUACCAAAUAGACUGCAUAUUAGGACCUCAGAGGUACCUACUGAUAGAAAAAAGGGGUGCAUACUAGUUUCUCGGAGGUACGUACUGGUACCGAAUAGGGUGUAUGUUAGUACCUAGGAGGUACGUACUGGUACCAAAUAUACUGCUCAGCGGUACCUACUGAUGGAAAAAGGGGGGCAUACUAGUAUCUCAGAGGUACCUACUGGUACCCGAUAGGGUGCAUAUUAGUACCUUGGAGGUACGUACUGGUACCGAAUAGGGUGCAUAUUAGUACCUCUGAGGUACCUACUGAUAGAAAAAAGGGGUGCAUACUAGUAUCUCGGAGGUACGUACUGGUACCGAAUAGGGUGUAUAUUAGAACCUAUGAGGUACGUACAUGUUCCAAAUAGACUGAAUAUUAGUACCUCGGAGGAACCUACUGAUAGAAAGAAGGGGUGCAUACUAGUAUCGGAGGUACGUACUGGUACUGAAUAGGGUGCAUAUAGUACCUCGGAGGUAUGUACUGGUACCAAAUAAGGUGCAUAUUAGUACUUAGGAGGUACGAACUGGUUCCAAAUAGACUGAAUAUUAGGAGUACCUCGGAGGUACGUACUGGUAUCGAAUAGGGUGCAUAUUAGUACCUAGGAGGUACGUACUGGUACCAAAUAAACUGCAUAUUUGUACCUUGGAGGUACUUACUGGUAUCAUAUAAGGUGCAUGUUAGUACCUUGGAGCUAAGUACUGGUACCAAAUAGGGUGCAUAUUAGUACCUUGGCGGUACGUACUGGUACCGAAUAGGGUGCAUAUUAGGACCUCGGAGGUACCUACUGAUAGAAAAAAGGGGUGCAUACUAGUUUCUCGGAGGUACGUACUGGUACCGAAUAGGAUGUAUAUUAGUACCUAUGAGGUACGUACAGGUUCCAAAUAGACUGAAUAUUAGUACCUCUGAGGUACCUACUGAUAGAAAAAUGGGGUGCAUACUAGUAUCGGAGGUAAGUACUGGUACUGAAUAGGGUGCAUAUUAGUACCUCGGAGGUAUGUACUGGUACCAAAUAAGGUGCAUAUUAGUACUUAGGAGGUAUGAACUGGUUCCAAAUAGACUGAAUAUUAGGAGUACCUCGGAGGUACGUACUGGUAUCGAAUAGGGUGCAUAUUAGUCCCUAGGAGGUACGUACUGGUCUGGUAGCAAACAGGGUGCAUAUUAGUACCUCAGAGGUAUCUACUGGUACCAAAUAGGGUGCAUAUUGGUACCUAGGAGGUAUCUACUGGUACCAAAUAGGGCGCAUAUUAGUACCUCAGAGGUAUAUACUGGUACCAAAUAGGGUGCAUAUUAGUACCUCAGAGGUAUCCACUUGUACCAAAUAGGGUGCAUAUUAGUACCUAGGAGGUAUCUACUGGUACCAAAUAGGGGGCAUAUUAUUACCUCAGAUGUAUCUACCAGUAGCAAAUAGGGUGCAUAUUUGUACCUUGGAGGUAUCUACUGGUACCAAAUAGGGUGCAUAUUAGUACCUCAGAGGUAUCUAUCGGUAAAAAAUAAGGUGCGUGUUAGUACCUCAGAUGUAUCUACUGGUAGCAAAUAGGGUGCAUAUUAGUACCUCAGAGGUAUCUACUGGUACUAAAUAGGGCGCAUAUUAGUACCUCAGAGGUAUCUACCGGUAAAAAAUAAGGUGCGUAUUAGUACCUCAGAUGUAUCUACCGGUAAAAAAUAAGGUGCGUAUUAGUACCUCAGAUGUAUCUACUGGUAGCAAAUAGGGUGCAUAUUAGUACCUCAGAGGUAUCUAAUAGUACCAAAUAAGGUGCAUAUUAGUAUAUUAGUAUCUAGGAGGUACAUACUGUUACCAAAUAUAGUGCAAAUUAGUACCUCAAAGGUUAUACAUAGUAUUUCAACGGUACAUCAGAAUGGUAUUGGCCAAACGUAUACCUAUCUGCACCUCAUUGUGCAUAUUAGGACCUUUUUAAAGGGUAUUGCCGCAUGGUAACAGAUGAAGUACAUAUUUUGAUAAUUUUUUCUACCAGUGUAGCAGUUUAUAUUUUCUUUGAAGUUUGUUUAUAAUGUCAUAAGUAUAUAAGAUUUCUUUCAAUUUGUUAUUUAACGUUGCAAUUGACAGGCAAAUAUAGUGAUUUUCUGUCUGUUUAAAGUCAAAUAACCAUUAAAGUCAAUGCUGUGUGCUUAGCAGACACUGUAAGAGAUGUUUUCAGGCUUGAGCAAUCGAACCACUGGGAAUUGGGCAUGACGCCAUGGUGAAAAGAUGCUGCCUGUUGUCAUGGUGACCGAUUGCAUUCCAUCGGGAGGUUGGAAAUGAAGGUGCUGCAGUGGGUGAUAAUAGGAUCCCUGUUUCCGCCAUACAGGAUCUGCUGCGUCAGGUGAUCUGACAAACACUGCCACCUUCUCCAAGGAGUUACUUUAUGAAGUCUAACCUUUAAUUUGACUGGGUCAAGGUCUGAAGUCAUGGCUCGCCGAGCGUCAGUGUUCUGUACAGACGGGCUAAAGGUUCGAGCACAUCCUCUCCUGGAUGGGUCCCAGGCUGUGACUCGGCAUGGCAAGCGUCCUCUACUUCUGCUGGCAUUAGCAGCCGCGGGCGACGUCACAGCGCCGCCUCGGACAGUGGCGACACGGGCAUUGGAACC